GGCACUAGACAGGGUAUAUAAGCCUUCACUGGUUAAAUCAACAUACAGUGAAGGCUUAUAUAUCUUGUCUAGUGCCCA
ensembl:miRNA MIR4337 microRNA mir-4337